rnacentral:lncRNA from 1 species
AUCAAAUUCAAAGAAACCUCAAAGAAAUUACAAAGAAACAAUAAAAAAUCUUAAAGAAAUAUUAAAAUGAUUACAAAUAUAUCUCAAAUACAUCACAAUUCAAUCUUAUUUUAAUCCAAGUUGAAAUCCUAUUGGACUUCAUUGAAACUUUAGGCCAAAAACUAAUUAUAUCUUAAAUCCUAAACAAACUCAAAUAAAAUCCUAAAUUCUAAAUCAAAUCCUAACCAAAUCCUAAAUUCUAAAUCAACUCUUAAAUAAAUCCUAAUCUUAAAUCAAACCCUAAAUAAAUCUUAAAUCUUAAACCAAAUCCUAAUCAAAUCCUAAUCCUAAAUCAAACCUUAACCAAAUCCUAACCCUAAA